UUCGUCUCAGGACAACAAAAAACUUUUUGGUAAAAUCUAAAUCUCCAACCAUCUGGGUCACGGCACCAAAGUGUAAGAAAUCGGCGGUUUCGUAUAGUGGUCAAAUAAUAUAGAACCCGUAUCAAAUCGAGGGAGAAGUUUGCUCAAGUUUAUUGGAAAAUUACAGCACAGAUGUCAUUCAGUGAACGUUCCAUUAUCUUCUCACUGCAAUGUUGGUUACCAGCUAGCCUAUACAUUAAGGGCGUUUCUAACUAAGACCAUGUCUUUAGAAGUCAACCCCCCAUGCCAUAUGACCAUCGUAAACAUUCCUACAGACAGAUAAUCUAAACAGAGAGGUUUCUGUAGUUCUCAUUAUCUAGGCACAUGCACUUCCAAUGAAAUGUACUUUCAUAUUGUAAUUGUUAAUGCUCAGAUUCCACACUACACACAUUCUGCAAAAGUCAAUACUUCUUCAGAUGAGACAGAGAAACUGGAUGAAGAUGAACAAGCCAGCCAAUCAGAUGGGAACUCCACACAAGGAUCUGGUCAUCAACAAAGUCUUCAGUAUGAUGGAGCUGCCAGCACUCCACCCCAGAUGAGCCUAACAACGCUGGAGACAAUGAUGAACAAGCCACCCUGUCAGAUAUUGCUGCCUCCUCACAAAGAAGUGAUCAUCAACAGAGACGUCACCUUGAUGGAGCUCCAUCUCAGACUUUUGCAGAUGCGCCUGACAUUGACGGUGAUGAAAUUGAUGAACAAGCCCACCAGUCAGAUGGGGCUGACUCCUCACAAUGAUCUGGUCAUCAACAGAGACCUCAACACAAUGCAGCAGCCAGCACUCCACCUCAGAUGGAAUCAGGAAAGAGAAAAUAUGGUGAUGACCCUCUCUACCCUGGUGCACCACUGACUAAAGGACAGAGUCUACUCUUACUGAUGUCUUUCAU
ensembl:lncRNA